rnacentral:rRNA from 1 species
UAGUUAGUUGGUAAGGUAACGGUUUACCAAGGCGAUGAUGGUUAGGGGUCCUGAGAGGGUAAACCCCCACACUGGUACUGAGACACGGACCAGACUUCUACGGAAGGCAGCAGUGAGGAAUAUUGGUCAAUGGGCGCAAGCCUGAACCAGCCAUGCCGCGUGCAGGAAGACGGCCCUACGGGUUGUAAACUGCUUUUCUGUGGGAAGAAUUCCCACCUAUCCAGGUGGGUUGACGGUACCGCAGGAAUAAGCAUCGGCUAACUCCGUGCCAGCAGCCGCGGUAAUACGGAGGAUGCAAGCGUUAUCCGGAUUUAUUGGGUUUAAAGGGUGCGCAGGCGGUGGAACAAGUCAGUGGUGAAAGCCCGGGGCUUAACUUCGGGAUUGCCAUUGAAACUGUUUCACUUGAGUGUAGUUGAGGACGGCGGAAUGAGUUGUGUAGCGGUGAAAUGCAUAGAUAUAACUCAGAACACCAAUUGCGAAGGCAGCUGUCUAGACUACAACUGACGCUGAGGCACGAAAGCGUGGGUAGCGAACAGGAUUAGAUACCCUGGUAGUCCACGCUGUAAACGAUGAUCACUCGUUGUUGGCUACUUAGUAGUCAGUGACUAAGGGAAACCGAUAAGUGAUCCACCUGGGGAGUACGUCGGCAACGAUGAAACUCAAAGGAAUUGACGGGGGCCCGCACAAGCGGAGGAACAUGUGGUUUAAUUCGAUGAUACGCGAGGAACCUUACCUGGGCUUAAAUGCUGGCUGCAUUCACGCGAAAGCGUGAUUUCCUACGGGACCGCCAGCAAGGUGCUGCAUGGUUGUCGUCAGCUCGUGCCGUGAGGUGUCGGGUUAAGUCCCAUAACGAGCGCAACCCCUAUCGUUAGUUGCCAGCAUGUAAUGGUGGGGACUCUAACGAGACUGCCGGUGUAAACCGGAGGAAGGUGGGGAUGACGUCAAAUCAGCACGGCCCUUACGUCCAGGGCUACACACGUGUUACAAUGGCCGGUACAAAGAGCAGCCACCUGGCGACAGGGUGCUAAUCUCUAAAACCGGUCUCAGUUCGGAUCGAAGUCUGCAAUUCGACUUCGUGAAGAUGGAUUCGCUAGUAAUCGCGCAUCAGCCAUGGCGCGCUGAAUAAGUUCCCGGGCCUUGUACACACCGCCCGUCAAGCCAUGGAAGCACGGGGGUACCUGAAGUCCGUAACC